GGAGGUUAACUAGGUGGAUGGAGUAAAAGUUCUUACAAGAACGCUACCUUGUAAUUUAUAAGAUUUAAUCUUAUUACUUGUUUGCCUUGGGUGAACGUGCUUAACUACCCUGGCAACAAGAGUUUUUGAAUCAAGCAAAUUACCUUCCCUAGUUUUUCCAUAGAUGAGUACUCGUUUACAAUUGCGGGAUUCAGUUCAGUACACGCCAGUUCAUUUGGAAGUUAACAUCACCUGCCAGUCUUUUUUUCCCUCUACAAGACUAUGUAAUACGACAAGUAUACAAAGACAGAAAACGCAAAGAAAAUGGUGAAACCAUUCGUAAAAGGAUUAGCUUUCAGCCAGUUUCCUCUUACAAUAGGCUGAUUGAAUCCUUUGCAACCAAAGCCAAAGGACAUAAUCAACUGGAGGUGAAGCAGUUUAAAAUUCUGAUAUAAACGAGCGUCCAAGAUGACAAGUUGUCUUAUACUGCGAACGUGAAAUUCUCGACUGUCGCAUAUUUGUUAACCAUUAAAACAUCGUGUCUCAAUUAAUUCAGAAAUUCACGAUAGACAACAAUAAUCUUCAAUAAUAACUUGUUUGAUUCAGGUAAUAUCAGGUGUGGGGAUCGAACCCACGUCUCUAUGUAGAGACCAGAACUUAAGUCUGGCGCCUUAACCACUCGGCCAACCUGAUUGUGAUAAUAGGUAAUGACCCCUAAAAGCAAUAAAAAUUUAGCAAGACGUAAAGUUGAUUUUGGGUUACUAAGGGCUACACGGACGCUGCUAAAGUUUAACCCAAAUUGGGAUUCCGUUAGUCUAUGAACGCAUGCAAACUAUGGAAUAUGGAAAUGGUGUUGAAGACGUUUACAGCUAUUCAUAACGAAUGUUGACUGCGUGACGUCUGGCCGUGAAGCGUGUGGGCUGCUAGGCUGGUCACAAGACUUAUUUCGUCACACAAUCAACCACCAUAACUUCAUAGAAGCAUUGUCAUCCAUGCCAUUCAGUUCGGUGUGCUGUUUGAGGUUUGACAGUUAACAGGCAAUCUGUAUUUAUAUACGUCUAAGAACUGAUCUUUGUUACAUGUAGCCUACGAAGAAAUUGCUGCAAAAUUUGAACGCUACGAUCAUCUUUUGGUAUUCAUUUCAUAGAACUUAUUGUGGUAACGAAAUACUUAAAAUGUCCUUUUUCCCCAUAUUUUUUCCAAAACAUCGUCUUGCACUUAUAGAAUGUGAUGGAUAAUUUAGACGGGGACAACAAAAAACAACUAUACUUUCAAGGGAAAGCCAAUUUCACUUGUACGCCAUGAGUUGUGGCAUUUUUAAUUUAGGGGAUGAGUUGCACGAGUUACGUGAAUGAACUUGAAAGUUUCGCACAGUUUGCCAGGGAAAUCAUUCAUAUUUCAAACUUCAUUGUUAUCCUCUCUGUUGGCUAGCCCUCAAGAGACAUGCACGCGUCGUUCAUUGGGGCAGGAUCAAUUCACGUUGGCAACCAGUAGACCGUCUGUUUUAUUUUGUCUCUAAAUAAUUGCUUCCUCGAAUGCAAGUUUUGUUAUAACCGCUGUCCUGCUUGUCUUUGGUGGUAGAUUCUGGCAUGAAUAGAUGGAACGAGACGCAGGGGAGAACAAUUAGUUCAGAAAAAUGCGAACGUUUGAAGGGAAACUAACUUACUUUCUUCAUCCUUAGGAUACCGAAGUGAAAUCCUCCAAGCAGAAUCAAGUUAACAGACUUGCACGUUACAAUGGCACCGUAUACGUUAUCUUUUGAUGUGGGCAAAGGUUAACGUGUCAGCAGCCAAGUAGAAGUUUUGCACACAACAGCGUGUAUUCUCAGAAUCUAACUUACGAAUAAGUGGGAGUGAAACUAGAUUAGGUUUUAAUGAAAAUGUAACAUUUUCGAAGAAGGGGGGAAGUCAAACUUCUAUUU